GACGAACGCUGGCGGCGUGCUUAACACAUGCAAGUCGAACGGAAAGGCCCUGCUUUUGUGGGGUGCUCGAGUGGCGAACGGGUGAGUAACAAGUGAGUAACCUGCCCUUGACUUUGGGAUAACUUCAGGAAACUGGGGCUAAUACCGGCUAGGAGCUCCUGCUGCAUGGUGGGGGUUGGAAAGUUUCGGCGGUUGGGGAUGGACUCGCGGCUUAUCAGCUUGUUGGUGGGGUAGUGGCUUACCAAGGCUUUGACGGGUAGCGGGCCUGAGAGGGUGACCGGCCACAUUGGGGCUGAGAUACGGCCCAGACUCCUACGGGAGGCAGCAGUGGGGAAUAUUGCACAAUGGGCGGAAGCCGGAUGCAGCAACGCCGCGUGCGGGAUGACGGCCUUCGGGUUGUAAACCGCUUUCGCCUGUGACGAAGCGUGAGUGACGGUAAUGGGUAAAGAAGCACCGGCUAACUACGUG
rnacentral:rRNA from 1 species